CACACACACGCAGGCAGGCACCCUCGAUUCCAGCAUGCUCCCAGCCAGGUUACCCAACUUCUCCAAGCCUCAUUUUCUUGACGAACGUGGAGUGACCAGCAGAGAGCACAGCAAGCCCUCAUCGAACAGCAUUGUUGUUCUCUUUAUUACAUCACCUUCCUUCGAGGAGUCAAAGGCACCGAUGCCCACAUGAUGAGGCUGAUUGUUUAUUAUGCCACAGUGGAAGCAGGUAGUUAAUGUACGUGCUCAGAUAUGCCCAGCUACUUGGUGUAACUUUGGAGAAAGGAACACCGAGACCACACCGAGGAAAGAUCAUUUGCGGGCACCUGCAGCAGUAAACGCGGCGUCUCCUCCCUCUCCAGGGGGCUGCUGUUGUGAUACGGUGUCCUUUUAUCCGGUGCUUGACUGCCUCUUGGGGAAAAUAUCAUGCGUAGAUAAAGCAGAAGAUGCCAACACGGCUGGAGCUAUUAAUAAAAGGAAUAGAACUUGUAAAGGAACGGCAAGUUAGCAAUAAAAGAAUUUACCUGCAAAUACCGACCUUCACCUUCUUGUAAUUUAAGGUGCCCGGAUAGAUGGACAGGAAGGUGCCGAGACUUCCCGUGGACCCCCUGCCACCACACGUGCAUAAUCUUUCCCGUGAUCAACCUCCCCCACCAGAAUGAUACACUUGCUACGGUUGAUGACUCUACAAGACGUCAUUAUCACCCAAAGUUCACAGCUUGUCUUAGAAUACACUCUCAGUGUUGUACUGAGAGUUGUACCCAUUACAUGGGUUUUGGAAAAAUGUAUGAUGCCAUGUAUCCAUCAUUAUAGUAUCGUGCACAAGAGUUUCACUGCCUUAAAAAUCCUCUGCUUGCCUCCUAUGUAUCCUCAGCCUCCAGCAACCACCAAUCUUUCCCUGGUUUCCAUAGUUGUGUCUUUUCCAUAAUGUCAUAUAGUUGGAAUCAUACGUUAUGUAGCCGUUCUAGAUUGGUUUUCUUCACUCAGCGAUGUGCAUGCAAGG